UCUUACGGAUGAACAAAGAAAGUAGUUUCUUGAGAUCGAGUCUACUCCUGGUGAAGAUGCUCUGAA
rnacentral:pre_miRNA from 1 species